rnacentral:rRNA from 1 species
GAUGAACGCUAGCGGCAGGCUUAACACAUGCAAGUCGAGGGGUAGAAGUCUUCGGACUUUGAGACCGGCGCACGGGUGCGUAACGCGUAUGCAAUCUGCCUUGUACAAAGGGAUAGCCCAGAGAAAUUUGGAUUAAUACCUUAUAGUAUAUAGAUGUGGCAUCACAUUUAUAUUAAAGAUUUAUCGGUACAAGAUGAGCAUGCGUCCCAUUAGCUAGUUGGUAUGGUAACGGCAUACCAAGGCAAUGAUG